rnacentral:rRNA from 1 species
UACGUAGGUGGCAAGCGUUGUUCGGAAUUACUGGGCGUAAAGGGCCAGUAGGCGGCCAACUAAGUCCGACGUGAAAUCCCAAGGCUUAACCUUGGAACUGCGUCGGAUACUGGAUGGCUUGAAUUCGGGAGAGGGAUGCAGAAUUCCAGGUGUGAGCGGUGAAAUGCGUAGAUAUCUGGAGGAAUACCGGUGGCCGAAGGCGGCAUCCUGGACCGACAUUGACGCUGAACGGCGAAAGCUAGGGGAGCAAACGGG